rnacentral:rRNA from 1 species
CCUACGGGUGGCAGCAGUGAGGAAUAUUGGUCAAUGGGCGCGAGCCUGAACCAGCCAAGUCGCGUGAGGGAAGAAGGUCCUAUGGAUUGUAAACCUCUUUUGCCGGGGAGCAAAAGACGCCACGCGUGGCGUUCCGAGAGUACCCUAAGAAAAAACGUCGGCAAACUCCGUGCCAGCAGCCGCGGUAAUACGGAGGGUGCGAGCGUUAUCCGGAUUUAUGGGGUUUAAAGGGUGCGCAGGCGGAAGAUUAAGUCAGCGGUAAAAUUGAGAGGCUCAACCUCUUCGAGCCGUUGAAACUGGUUUUCUUGAGUGAGCGAGAAGUAUGCGGAAUGCGUGGUGUAGCGGUGAAAUGCAUAGAUAUCACGCAGAACUCCGAUUGCGAAGGCAGCAUACCGGCGCUCAACUGACGCUCAUGCACGAAAGUGUGGGUAUCGAACAGGAUUAGAUACCCUUGUAGUC